rnacentral:sRNA from 1 species
AUUUCCGGCCCAGGGGGUUUGGCUCUCCGCGGCUCGGGGUUUCGCGUUCGCGCUCCUUCCCUUCCCGUGGUCGAGCCGAGUCCUGACCUGAGGGCUGCAUCAAGAUCUUGUCAUUCCACAUCGUGGUUUCCUUUGAGGAUGUGGCUGUACCCCUCUCCCAGGAGGAGUGGGACUGUCUGAUCCCUGCUCAGAGGGGCCUCUACAAGGAUGUGAUGAUGGAGACCUGUGGGAACCUACUCUCACUAGUAGGUGAAUGGUUAAGCAAACUGUGGUACAUCCAUACCAUGGAAUACUACUCAGCAAUCAAAAGGAACUGCCCAGACUUCACCACAAUGCAAUAUAUGCAUGACUUCAAGCUUCCAAACCUGAUGUCAUCUCCAGGCUGGAGCGGGGGGACGAACCAUAGACCCCUCACAUCCUGAGAACUCGGGGGAGCUGGAGCUGGAGGCACAAGGGAGAAGGCUGUGAUUCUAGGAUUGAAAAAGAGGAAAUGAUUCCAAAGCAGGACAUUUCUGAAGAAUUGGAAUCCCAGAGAGCAAAAUCAGAAGAUCAUGUAAGGAAUAUUUUUAAGGAAACUGAAGAGAUCAGUAAAACUGAGGGAAAGUUAGAGAAUUGCUGGAGAAAAUAUGCAGUAGAAGGAGUUAAGAACUCAUUCUCCCAGAGGAGCAAUUUCAGAGAAAUUACCAUGAGGUAUGUGAAAACCCUCUCUAGAGAGAAUGGCCAGAAGUUCAAUGCUGUUGGAGAAAACUGCAUUACAGACUCAAAUCCUGCCAAACAUCUUAGAGGGUCUAGAGAGGAGAGUCUCCAUCCAAGUGUGUCAAGUGUAGAAAACUUGCAACAACAUGAGGACCUCAUUAACCUCCAGAGUUUCCAAUU